UACGUAGGGCGCAAGCGUUAUCCGGAAUUAUUGGGCGUAAAGGGCUCGUAGGCGGUUUGUCGCGUCGGGAGUGAAAACUCAGGGCUUAACCCUGAGCCUGCUUCCGAUACGGGCAGACUAGAGGCAUGCAGGGGAGAACGGAAUUCCUGGUGUAGCGGUGAAAUGCGUAGAUAUCGUGAGGAACACCAGAGGCGAAGGCGGUUACCUGGACAGUUACUGACGCUCAGGCACGAAAGCAUGGGGAGCAAAAGGG
rnacentral:rRNA from 1 species